UUUAUACAAAGCAUAGAGUAAACUCAUAAUUAUUAAUUGAAACUUCAACAUUAAUUAACUGAAACAUUAGUUCAUGAUCAUCGUCUCUCCUCUGUUUUCGGAUGAUGAGAUGUAUCACUCGAGAGGAAGCUUGUUCAUCUUAAGAAACUUGUACUCUCUGUAGACAUAAGGCUUGAACUUAGGAGCAUCAUCAAUAACUAGCUCAGGCAAAGGUCCGACCACGUGAUCAAGGUUCGGUUCCGCGAACACCGGCCACGAGAGUCUCGUCCUCACCGUAUCUAUCGUCGCUCUAUGCUCUCCACUCUUAUACCUCCCAUUGCUCAUCCUCUACAAAACCAAGAUAAUAUUUUUAGACUAUUGUAUAAAAUGUUACAAAAUUUUGAUAGAAGUAUAUAAAUUAAAACUUACUUAAAUAUAUGUUUAUUUUUUAUUAAAAGAAUAUUAAACCCUUAAUUUCAUGGACCGUCCACAAAGCUAAGCAUGCCUUGUACACAUCCUCAAGAAUCAAAACCAAACAGACAGAACUUAUCUGAAAAUGUUAGAAACUUUUGUCUAUACCUUGAUUUGAUCGGCGAUGAUGACGACGAUCCCUGAGUCAUCAUACUUGACGUCGACCCACUUGUUGUCCUGAAAUGCUUGAAGUCCAUCUACCUCAUCAGCGAUCAAGAACGUGAUUCCAUUGAGAUCUGUGUGAUGAGGAGCUCCGUAGAGCAACUCAAGUUUUGGACACGGCGGAUAGAAGAUGAUUUUCAUUAGAUACUCCACCUUUUCUCCACCAAGACCUUCCUUCAAUGCAUCACGAUGUAAUCCUAGUCCUUCUGAUAACCAUCCCAUGAUUUUCUCAGAUAGCUUCUUUAUCUCCUUUGCAUACUCCUCAUUCACCUCCCUGUUACAAACCCAAUAUAUAAUCACUUUUUAUUUUAUUCUAUGUUUAAGAUUAAUACACUUAGAUUAAAAAGUGUAAAAUUUUAUUCAAUUAAUCUAAAUUAAAUAAAAAAUCAUAAAACAAAAACAAAAACAGUUCAGCCAAUAAAAAAUAGUAUUAUAUAUUUGGCCAUAAAUCUCAAGCAAUACUAUUUUCUUACUUAAAAUAAUGACAUCAUUUAUUUUGCCACAACAAAAAAACUCGUUAAACAUCAAAUAAACUGAAACAGAUGGAAUAUACUGUUUAUAAAAAUUUUACAUGAUAUUAUCCCCGACAGAAACUAAUCUAUCUUGUACUAAUUUCAACUCAGUUGGUAGUUAAAAAUUUGUAAAAACAAUUGAUAGAAAGCUUUUUUAUUUAUCAAUUUUAAAGGCAUAUAUUAUCUUUGAAAAUUUUGGUUGUCAAUAUUCCAACGUCCCUACAAAUUCAGUGUAAUAAAAUGGAAAAAAGUUUUUAACAAAAAAUAAAAAUAAUAAGUGGAGUUCACAAACCUUGUAUACUAGUAGACAAUUACAGCAUUUUAAUACUCGUACCUGUAAUCUGGAGAGUUCUUAGGCCAGAAUCUGUAGUUGAUUCUUGACGGUGGCCAGAUCCUGUGAAAGAGAUGAUCAGCCCAUGUUUUUCUACCUUCUCCAUCUUUCUUGUAAUCCGUUGUGUAUCCUUCUAAGUCCGUUGAAUCAGCUGGCCUCGCUACGGCUUCUUUCUCCUUCUCAGGCAGCUCGAAGAACUCGGUCCCCAGUUCCUUCAACCGCCGCAUCAGCUCGGUGGGGAUCCCGUGGUUAACCACCUGGAACAUCCCCCAUGUCUCGCUGGCUUUCACCACCGCACGUGCCACUAAGUCUUCGUUUGGGUUACUUAGAUCGACGAUAGGAAAAUCUACCGGAGAUGUUCCUUGGAACUUUGAAGGGACUGGCUCGGCCAUGUAUUUUUUUUUUCCUUUCUCACGAUGGGAAUAUUGUUUAUUUAGAUGUUAAUUGGAGUGAGAACGUGUGGUAUGGGUUUAUACCUUAUAUAGAUAAGAGUGCAUUUGAAUGUAGUAGGCGUAUGAGUCUUUCUUCAGUGACAUUACUUCAAUUUUCCACAUUUUUUUAUAUGAUUGGUUAUCACAAUAUUAAAACCUUUAUGUUUCCAAUGAUUCAAAACUUUUAUUACUCUUCCUUUAAUAAUUGAAUGUCAAUGGUGCAAAUAUCUAUGAUGGAUUCUUAAAAUCAUAAAAUAAAAUAUCUUAAAACAGGAAAACCCCACUCAAUAAUCAUACAUUUGAACUAUUCAUAUAAUAGUUUAUCAUUAUAGUUAUUUUAUAAUUUUUGAGAAUCUCUCAUAUAUAUUUGGGGUGAAUAUGCUUUUAGAUUACCUUUGAAUUUUGGAUUUUCGGUAUGCUUAUUGCUUAAGUUGAACUAUUUUGUAGGUAGAUCUAUGGCAAGAGGAGGUAUGACAUCUGCCCCCCACCUCAUUGAAAUAUUUAUAAGUUUAAACAUUAGUCCAAAUUAAUAUAUAGUAUGAGGAUAAUAAUUAAAAAAAAAACCUUUUCACCAUUGACCAAAUUAACAAAAGUAAUUAAUGUUGUUUGCUGACAAACCAUAUUUUUGAUUAACAUGAAGAUCAAUUUAUUCCAUGAGGAUAAUAUACUUCAAAAGCAUCAAUUUCAUAUUACUUAUUCCCUCCGUUUUAUAAUGUUACAUGUUUAGAAUUUUUUUUUUCAAAAAAAUAUUUUUUUUGUAUUUCAAUGUAUAUUUUGUCAACUAAUAAUGAUUAAUUGAAAAUUUCAAAAAAUUUAAUUGUACUUAUUUGAUUUUUAUUAGUUUAGAUUUAUUGAAAAAAUAUAAUCACAAAAAAUUAUGCAUUUAUUCCAUGUUUUAUUAAUAUGUGUGAAAAAUCUAAAAUAUAAACGGAAGGAAUAUAUGAACUUUAGAAUCUUAUGUCUAUUAUUUCCUUUUGCACUUCUUUUGUUCCUUUUGCAUUUUACGUAGAAGAUGUUACUCCUCUGCUUUCUUUAUACACACCAUCGCUCUAUGCAACACAUUCUUGCGAUAGUAGGUUAAAUAUUUUGAUAUUUUUCUAGAAUUUUAGUUAAUUAAUUAAGAUAAAUUUGAAAGGCAAAAUAAAUAUCAUUUCUCACAUGGAUAUAUUAAAAGACAGAAGCAUUUAUUUAUAAAGCAUAUAGUACAUUGAUAAUUAAUUAACAGAAACUUCCAACAUCAAUUAACUGAAACAGUCGUUCAUGAUCUUCUCUCCCCUGUUUCUGGAUAAUGAGAUUAGCGUCAGUCGAUAGAAAGCUUGUUCAUCUUAAGAAACUUGUACUCUCUGUAGACAUAAGGCUUAAACUUAGGAGCAUCAUCAAUAACUAGCUCCGCCAAAGGUCCGACGACAUGAUCAAGGUUCGGUUCCGCGAACACCGGCCACGAGAGUCUCGUCCUUACCGUAUCCAUCGUCACUCUAUGCUCCCCACUCUUAUACCUCCCAUUUGAAUAUGCUUUUAGAUUACCUGACGACUAUACUCUCACGUUUAUAUAAUUUACAAGCAAUAUGUAUCCAACUUGAUAAAUUUGUAUCCGUACAAAAUGCACACAGUAAGAAAAAGUUAGAUUCGCC
rnacentral:lncRNA from 1 species